CAUUCGUCUUUCACCGGCGCGACGACGACGGCAAAAUCUAGGUGGGCAUCUCCAUCGUCGGUGGCUGGUUUGCUGAUCGCCACCACGAGCGGCGUACCCCUCGUCGACUCUCCACGACGUGCAGUGAGGGCAACUCCCCACAAUUGUCUCGAUGAUGGUAAGAACAAGACUUUCCAGUCCGAUAUUUCAUUUCAUAUUCAUCAAUGGCGGCGACGACAACACGGCAUCGAUCGAUUUGCGAAGCCUAUGCAUCACGGCAUCAUGGUGGCGGCGACGGCACCGCCGCAGCAAUCGAAGGAGCAGAGAGGCGGCUGCACCACAGUGCGCCGCUACGACUCCUCGCUACCGAUGUGGAAGAAGAAUGAUGAAGCUCCUAAUUAACUAGUUCUUUGCUCCAUACAGAUGCAUGACAAAUACACCAUUGAUGGUGGCCAACACCGGGCAGUAUUCGCAUAGUUGCAUCGAUUAGCUGAUGUAGAUGCAGAAAAUGUGGAUUUGGCAGUAUGAAAAUUCUGUCCAAAGCAGCUUGUGCAGGUCAAGAAUUGGGUGUACUGUACAUUCAUUUUUCUUCUUUUUCAGAAUGGCUAAAUAUGUAUGAAUCCAUAUACUGCCUGCAUUAUUGCAAGUUCUCUUGUGAUCAGACUAUGCUUCAAUUUAAUCUAAAUCGAGGAAAGAACUUUCUAUUCUUU
rnacentral:lncRNA from 1 species